UACGGGGGGGGCGAGCGUUGUUCGGAAUUACUGGGCGUAAAGGGUGCGUAGGCGGUGCUCUAAGUCGGAUGUGAAAACUCUGGGCUCAACCCAGAGCCUGCAUCCGAAACUGGAGUGCUAGAGUUCUGGAGGGGGUAGCGGAAUUCCUGGUGUAGCGGUGAAAUGCGUAGAUAUCAGGAGGAACACCGGUGGUGUAGACGGCUCACUGGACCGUAACUGACGCUGAAACACGAAAGCGUGGGUAGCAAACAGG
rnacentral:rRNA from 1 species